rnacentral:rRNA from 1 species
UUGCCCGGUAGCUAAAUGCGGAAGAGAUAAGUGCUGAAAGCAUCUAAGCACGAAACUUGCCCCGAGAUGAGUUCUCCCUGAGACUAUAAGUCUCCUGAAGGAACGUUAAAGACGAUGACGUUGAUAGGUCGGGUGUGUAAGCGUAGCGAUACGUUGAGCUAACCGAUACUAAUGAACCGUGAGGCUUAACCUU